rnacentral:lncRNA from 10 species
CUGCUGCUUGUGGUCCUUUGAAGGGACCAGCCACGUUCAAAGUACUUGCAGGCCGGGCAGGAGGGUUUCUUUUAUAUUGUUAAACAACUAUGUGGGGAUGGUGGUAUUUGAAGAGAUUGAAUUCCCAAAUGACCUGUGUUGGUCGUGCAAAAACCUUAUUCUAAUCAUCUGCUUUUGUCCAUCCUCAAAUAUUGGUUUUACUGGAGAAAUCCGGCUGCUUAGCCCAGACCCAGAGGCUUUGCUCUGAUUUCGAAUCUGAGUGGAGUAAAAAAAGAAGACAUAGUAGAAUGAUAUAAUUUGUAAAAAGCAAGCCACCAUCUCUGAGAAACAAAUCUGUCAACAGUAACACCAGCCCUGAAUUUUAAUUCACCUGUUAACCUGUAAGACCAUUUAAAUACUUCUUACCACCUUAUGAACACACACACAGCCACACACUUUAUCAUGUACCAUAAUAUGAACAUUUAAUUCAUAGCAUUGUAAGUAAACAGGAAAAAAGAAAGUAAAUAAAUCAAUGUAAAGGUACCAGACAGAAUUAAAGAAAUAAAAAAUAGAGAAGAGUGAAAAAAGAUGUUAAAGGCUUACAUUGAUGGCAUUAAAAAUAAUUAUUCAGGCCAGGCGUGGUGGCUUAUGCCUGUAAUCCCAGCACUUUGGGAGGCCAAGGCGGGUGGAUCACGAGGUCAGGAGUUCGAGACCAGCCUGGCCAACAUGGUGAAACCCCGUCUCUACUAACAAGUACAAAAAUUAGCUGGGCAUGGUGGUGUGCGCCUGUAGUCCAAGCUACUCAGGAGGCUGAGGCAGGAGAAUUGCAUGAGCCCGGGAGGUGGAGGUUGCAGUGAGCCAAUAUCGCACCAUUGUACUCCAGCCUGGGCAACAGAGCAAGACUCUGUCUCAAAAAUAAAAUAAAAUAAAAUAAAAUAAAAUAUAAAAUAAAAUAAAAUAAAACAUAAAAUAAAAUAAAAUUAAAAUAAAAUAAAAUAUAAAAUAAAAUAAAAUACAAUUAAAAUAAAAUAAAAUAAAAUAAAUAAUUCAGGCCAGGCACAGUGGCUGAUGCCUAUAAUCCCAGCACUUCGGGAAGCUGAGGCAGGUGGAUCUCUUGAGCUCAGCAGUUUGAGACCAGCCCGGUCAAUAUGGUAAGACCCUGUCUCUAAAAAAAAAAAAAAAAAAAAAAAAAACCUACAAAAAAUGCAAAAAUUAGCCCGCUUGGUGGUGCAUGCCUGUGAUCCUAGCCACACAGGAGAAGUGGGAGGAUUGUUUGAGCCAGGAGGUGGAGGUUGCAGUGAGCCAAGAUCAUGCCACUGCACUCCAGCCUGGGGGACAGAGCAAGACCCCGUCUUAAAACAUUAUUAUUAUGAUGAUGAUAAUUCCACAUUGUAAGGUUUUACUCCAGUGAGAAAGUAACCUCCUGCAUUACAAUAAAUUUUAAAAUCCUUCCCAUUGCCAAGGUGAAUGAAACGCCAUGACUAUAAGAAGGAGGUACAGGACGGGGCAACUUGUUUGAGGAGAGAGCUGUAUAGCUAAAUGGACUGAUAAAAACCAUCCCAGUAUAGUGGGGCACCAGGGAGCCUGGAUAUUAGGGAAUAUGUCAAAGAGAGAAAUGCUUCAUUGAAAUCAGCUACUCCAGGCAUGGUACUAAGCAAACUUUAGCAAAAAAGAAAGAAAAAAGAGAUUACUUUGCAGAAAGUAAAAGCAGCCCUGCCAUAAGCACUGUGUCAUAAUCUACUGGAAUAUUCUUACUCCAGUAAGAGAUCAAAGACCAAGGGAAAUGAGAGGUCAGGUCUAUGCUCUCCUUGGUGGACCUGCUGGGCCAUGGCUUAGCAGUGGCUCUGUUCUUCAGUCUAGAGAGUUGCAGCUCCUGUCAGCCUGCCCCUCUAUCAUUGCCUUAACUCGUUAGGUUCCAACAACACACAUUAUCUCCUUGUACCUUUGGGCCUAUGAGUGAUAAUAGUUUCCUGCUCUCAAUCUCUGGAUUUCUGGGUGCUUCAUUAUCAUUUGUUGGUUCCCUUAAGACUACCUUUAGUCUCUGCAUUGCAUUAUAUUGAAUUCUUCUUUGAGCAUGCCACCUAUUUCCUGCUGGAGCCCUAAGUGAUACUAAUGUGCUUAGAUUUCAUUUUAUGAGUUCAAUUGUUCUCAAUGAACCAUGUAUGAUGACCAUACAGUCUCAAAUUUAAGAAUACUUUAAGAUACUUUUCUAGAUUUUUUUCUACCAAGCAUUAUUCCUUUUUAUUAAAAUAAAGCUUCUGAGCCUAGAGAGGUGAACACCAGGUAAGCAGCACUUCUUGAACAAUGUUUUCAUGGCUAGGCUUAUUUCUGACUGGGCACAAAAUGUAUUUCAAUUUAUCUCUAAAAGCUGCCCACUAAUUCCUGCUAAAGUCUUAAAUGAUAAUUCAUAUAUUAACUCAUAUAGGUUUAAAGUUUACAUCUAGAGGUUCAUUUUAAAUGAUACUCUUGAAAGCAAAAUAUUACCUUUAAGAGCCAAAACAAUGGCAUUAUUGAAAUUUGAAGUGAUUCAAUUAGUUUUGUUCUGGGAGGGCCCAUCCUUCUAUUGUCAUAAAUUACAAUCUGUAGAAAGCCUUCCCCACUGCUGACACAUCAAUAUCAUUACCUCUUGGGGAAGAAUAUACUAAUUUAUUGGAAAAUAUAAUUUAUUUUUGGAAUAUACUAAUUUAUUGGAAAACACUAAUUUAUUAGAAAAUAUUAAAUGAACCAAUAUUCCAAGACUAUAAGAAAGUCACAAAAGCAAUGAGAAAGAGAAUUUCACCUAAUUUUGAAAAUAUCCAUUUAGCUGUUAAAUAUAUUUGUUUUGUUUUAUCUUGCAUGAAAUAUUUAAAAUGAAAGAUCACAAGAAAUUUUUUAAUAAGUAAAGGAUACAACAAUAUCCAACAGUAAACAUCUAUGUCAGGGUUAGAGUUGUUCACAUUUCAGUUACUGAAAUUUAUUUAUAAAAAAAAUUAGGUAGGUAAUACAGGAUACUUUUGAGGCAUAAAAUCAUUCAUUCAAUGGAGUCAGAUAUACCAGGAUUCGAACAGAACAUCAUCCUUUGGAGGACCAAAGAGGUUUUAUGUUGAUAAAACAGAGGUGUCAUUAUACUCUGUGCCCCCCAAGACCCAAUCUUAGGCAGAAGUUCUGUUUAUUAGCCAUGAGUUGUCUGAGUUUUAAACUGGGAUUGCAGAAGAAGAUGAAAAAUUGAUUCUUUAAAAAUAAAUAAUCUCCCAACUUUACAGAGCUGCCUGUUAUCCAAACAUGUGUUGCAUGAUAGGAAAAGUGCAGUUCAUCAUCCUGCUUGUCAAGUUGGAGCUCUUAAUGGUAUCUAAAUAAGCCAGUGCAUCAUG